AACCUAUUACAUUUUUCUACACAAACAAGUUAUUAUACAACCUAUUAUGUGCACUGGUGGUGAAAUUUUUUUUUUUGGUACAACUUAACUUAUUAUAGGAGGUUACUUUUCAUUUCUCAGCCAUACAAGCAAUUACUUAUUAUAGCAAUUGCCGUGCAUUGGUACCUGUAGAUGCUCUUACAAUAUCAGUGUUUUGAACUUGAACUUUUCAUACAAAGGGCAACUUCACAAGGUGAACAAUGUUUCCCAUGCUUAUUAUCACAAAUUACAAAUUGUUUUACACACAACCAAAAGAAAACAAUUUAAUAGUGAAAAUAAAAAGGAAGCUACCUUGAAAACAAAUCAGGCAAACACAGAGAUAAAUCACAACACAACAACAUUUUACAACCCAAUGAUUGAAAAUUAAGGAUUAAAACAGGAGACACUAGCUAGCAAAUCUUGAUGCAUUUCCCUCUCUAAUUACACUUGAAACCUGUGGGAAUGGUCUUAGCACAAGCACUAACCAAAGCACUAAGUGCAACAGGGAUAUCCAAUUUGACAAUUCCAAGCACAUUAGCCUUAAUUGCAGUGCAAAGGCAAGCUGCAACUUCCAAAUCAGCUAAACCUUGAAGCAAUGAGCAACAAGGACUUGUCACUUGACUCCCAAUUGCUACAUUAACAAGCCCAAGUACAUCAGCACAAACACCAAGCUUCAAUGUGUCCCUUGGGCAAAAGGGGUUGGCUGGGGGUGCUUUCUUUGGUGAUGGCUUUGGCUUGAUUGGUUCACUGCAUGGACCACAAGCAGUAGUGAAUGUGGCAACAAGGAGAAGGGAAAGAAUGAAAAUGGUGGAGGAGAAACUGGCCAUGACUGUAGAGAGUUUUAGUAGCUAGGCUUCUAAGAUUAGGGGUAGGUGCUCU
rnacentral:lncRNA from 1 species